rnacentral:rRNA from 1 species
CCUACGGGAGGCAGCAGUAGGGAAUAUUGCUCAAUGGGGGAAACCCUGAACCAGCAACGCCGCGUGAAGGAAGAAGGCUUUCGGAUUGUAAACCCCUUUUGUCAGAGAAGAAAAUGACGGUACCUAAGGAAUAAGCACCGGCUAACUCCGUGCCAGCAGCCGCGGUAAUACGGAGGGGGUAAGCGUUAAUCGGCAUUACUGGGGGUAAAGAGCGCGUAGGCGGGAGUGCAAGUCCGAUGGGAAAAGCGAGGGCUUAACCAACGGACUGCAUUGGAAAAUGCAGUUCUAGAGUGUGGGAGAGGUAUGUGGAAUGCGGGGUGUAGGGGUGAAAUGCGUAGAGAUCAGGAGGAACACUCGUUGCGAAGGCGGCCUGCUGGAACGUAACUGACGCUGAGGCGCGAAAGCGUGGGGAGCAAACAGGAUUAGAUACCCGUGUAGUC